rnacentral:rRNA from 1 species
AUUGAACGCUGGCGGCAGGCCUAACACAUGCAAGUCGAACGAGUGGCGGACGGGUGAGUAAUGUCUGGGAGACUGCCCGAUGGAGGGGGAUAACUACUGGAAACGGUAGCUAAUACCGCAUACGAUCGGAUGUGUCCAGAUGUGAUUAGCUAGUAGGUGGGGUAACGGCUCACAUAGGCGACGUGCCCUAGCUGGUCUGAGAGGAUGACCAGACAAACUGUAACGGAGACACGGUCCAGCGUCCGACGGGAGGCAGCAGUGGGGAAUAUUGCACAAUGGGCGCAAGCCGUAUGCAGCCAUGCCGGGUGUAUGAAGAAGGCCUGCGGGUUGUAAAGUACUUUCAGCGAGGAGGCGUUACUCGCAGAAGAAGCACCGGCUAACUCCGUGCCAGCAGCCGCGGUAAUAC